UACGGAGGGUGCAAGCAUUAAUCGGAUUUAUUGGGCGUAAAGGGCGCGUAGGCGGGAAGAUAAGUCAGAUGUGAAAUCCCGGGGCUCAACCCCGGAACAGCAUUUGAAACUGUCUUUCUUGAGGGUAGGCGGAGAAAACGGAAUUCCACAAGUAGCGGUGAAAUGCGUAGAUAUGUGGAAGAACACCAGUGGCGAAGGCGGUUUUCUAGCUUAUUCCUGACGCUAAGGCGCGAAAGCAAGGGGAUCAAACAGG
rnacentral:rRNA from 1 species